rnacentral:rRNA from 1 species
UGGAUCCAGACUUUGAUUCUGGCUCAGGAUGAACGCUAGCUACAGGCUUAACACAUGCAAGUCGAGGGGAGACGACAUUGGAAGCUUGCUUCCGAUGGGCGUCGACCGGCGCACGGGUGAGUAACGCGUAUCCAACCUGCCCACCACUCGGGAAUAACCUUGCGAAAGUAAGACUAAUGCCCAAUGAGAUUGAGUGCAGACAUCUAAUCUCAAUUAAAGAUUCAUCGGUGAUGGAUGGGGAUGCGUCCGAUUAGCUUGUUGGCGGGGUAACGGCCCACCAAGGCAACGAUCGGUAGGGGUUCUGAGAGGAAGGUCCCCCACAUUGGAACUGAGACACGGUCCAAACUCCUACGGGAGGCAGCAGUGAGGAAUAUUGGUCAAUGGGCGAGAGCCUGAACCAGCCAAGUAGCGUGCAGGAUGACGGCCCUAUGGGUUGUAAACUGCUUUUAUAAGGGAAUAAAGUGAGAGUCGUGACUCUUUUUGCAUGUACCUUAUGAAUAAGGACCGGCUAAUUCCGUGCCAGCAGCCGCGGUAAUACGGAAGGUCCGGGCGUUAUCCGGAUUUAUUGGGUUUAAAGGGAGCGUAGGCCGCAGGUUAAGCGUGUUGUGAAAUGUAGGGGCUCAACCUCUGCACUGCAGCGCGAACUGGCUUGCUUGAGUACGCACAACGUGGGCGGAAUUCGUGGUGUAGCGGUGAAAUGCUUAGAUAUCACGAAGAACUCCGAUUGCGAAGGCAGCUCACGGGAGCGCAACUGACGCUGAAGCUCGAAAGUGCGGGUAUCGAACAGGAUUAGAUACCCUGGUAGUCCGCACGGUAAACGAUGGAUGCCCGCUGUUGGCUUGAAUUAGUCAGCGGCCAAGCGAAAGCAUUAAGCAUCCCACCUGGGGAGUACGCCGGCAACGGUGCAACUCAAAUGAAUUGACGGA